CGAGGUGUUGAGCCAUAAAGAUGAUUAUUAUUGCUAUUAUUUAAUAAGGCCGUUGCUGCCAGCGAGGCGCUGCCGCCACAGGAGAUUUACGCGUUCCCCGUUCCCACGCGGCUGCGAGAGCAGAAACUCGCGUUUUGGGGAAAGCCCGUGAUGAGGAGGAGCUGCGAGGGGGGAGGAAGGCGGGGAGGAAUGGAGGUGUCUGCACUUUCCUUUCUUUAUUUUUGUUCUUUUCUUCUUUAAGUGCUACUUUUGUUCCCCAUCGCAGUUCUCUCCCCUCCUUUAAUUCUGGCGCUCGCUCCUUUGGCUUAAGUGCUGACGGGGGGGAAUUUACAAUUAGCAAAGCAGGAAAAAGUGGGAUCACAAAAGGCUCCUCGGACCUCGCCGCGAAGGGACGGCCCGUCGGGGGCGGGGGGGGGGUUGGUUUGGGGGUUUUUGUGUCUGUGUGUGCACCUUUAAGCUGAGAACUCCAGGAAGAAAAAGAAGCGUGCCCCAGGAAACACUUGACUUUUGAGAGGACUUACUCGAGGGUUUCUAGGUGAUGGAUAAAGUCCUGCUCCACGGACCGCGGUGUUUCCAGCUAUUGUUCUGCUGGGAGGGAGCUUUCCACCGGCGGACACCAUUAUUUUUCCCCCUAUUUAAACUUUUCAUGAACUACUCCAACAUAAAUCUUCUCCUUCAAGCCAAUUCUUACUCUGGAGCCCCGGCGCUGACAUUUCAGGGAAGGAAGGAUGAAAACCAGUAGUGGACUAUUCUUUUAAAGACUUCUCAGUAGGUAAAAUACUCUCUAGGUUUCUGAAUCUGGAUCUCCACUGACUAACUGGGAGUGCCCAAACAACCAGAAGUCCCUCCAAUACUGGAGAUAAUUCCUCUGAAGUGCGAAACCGUGCUUUAAUUUUAACUGGCAGCCAAAAAAAAACCACCUUUUAGAAGGUCUUUGCACGUUUAGAUGUUGAGCUCCUGCAAGCGCAGUUUUUAGGCUCCCUUUGGCAUCUUUGCUUUGGUUGCAGCUUAUUUUUCUUUAAGAUGUAACUCCCUCGCCCUCAUCCCGAAAUCAGCAGCAAAUGUUGCAAUCUGCCUGGAUUUCCCUUCAAAGGGAGUACAGGAAAUAUCUUCAAUUUAAAACACUCCCUCGAAGUUACGCUCAUAAAUCACAAGUUUAAGGACAAGCCAGUAGCAAAAUGAAAAUAGUCCGGUGAAUUCCAGGGCAGCCCUGCUUAUCCUGGCGGUGGGGGAGAGGGACGGGACUGGAUGGGACAGGAGGGGGAUUCACUUUGGGUGCCCUCAGAGAAGGAAUGAAGGGAGACACAGAGACACGCACAGUGUGGUGGAGGGAUCGCCACGAAGGGAGGGGGGAGGAUGGAGACGCGCUGCAGUGUACGAGGCCAGAGGGGCAGUGAUUCGGUAUCAGAAUUAACGGUUUGGAGACGUAAAUAUCUUGAAAGCCACGCCGAGAUUUAUGGCCACAACUUUGGCACGAAGGAUUCGGGAAGGAAGAAAGAAAAGGAGAAAGACAAAACAAUCUAAUUUAACAAUAUUUUCGUUUAGGGAAACAUUCCAAUGCCUUAAUAAUCCCGUUUCCGUUCUGUAUGUUGAUGUUACUAAUCUCGAAUAAAAAUGUUCCCCUCACA